UUUUUUUUUUUUUUUUUUUUUUUUUUUUUUACAAUUAAGUAGAGUCAAGGGAGGAAUAGCAAUUUGCAAGGUCUUUUGAUGUCAGCCCAAAUAAGGAUUUAUAGAUUGUCCCUUCUGUGUAAGGAGCUGAGUAGACAAAAACAAAUAUCUUGUUGCCAGAAGAGCUCAUGCUUCUAGAAGGAAUUAUUUUCAUUUAAACAUUUGGGUCUCCCUCUCACUUUUAUAAACAUCUUAUUUAAGGCCAGCUCCAGGUGGAAGUCCUGCCUUCUGUCUUUAUAAAGAAAAUGCUUUCAUAGAGUGGACACUUAACAUAUAUAAACUUUCUCAACUAUGUAUGUAUGUAUGUAUGUAUGUAUGUAUGUAUUGCCUUUGAAUUAUCCUUUCUGGAGGAGAUACUAGAUCAAAGUACCGUAAUGAUCUCCCAGUUGAUCCAAGUGAAAUCUCCUUUUGUUUGUUCCAGACCUCUACUUCUGUUUAGAUUUCAUUUCUUUUUAUUUUUUGCCUCAAGUGAAAUAAAGUCCAAUUUUUAUUGAGAGGAACUAGUGUAUUCCUAGUCAUUACUAUUCUAAAUGAUUUCACUGUUUUCACCACAUCAGUUGUGUUGACAUGAGUACCAGUAAUGUGGUAAUAAAGUUCCUAAUGGAUCAUACUGGAAAUAUCACGUUAUACCCAAGAACCUUCCUUGGCUGCUUGCCAAACAGAAGUAGGCAUAGGUUCUUUAGAGUAAUUGAUGAUGUUUGCAGAUGGAGGACACAUUAUUUCGGGCAGUCAUUCUAUAAAUAUGCUCUGGUACUGUAUGGUUUGGCUCUGUGUCCCCUCCCAAAUCUCAUCUUGAAUUAUAAUCCCUACAUGUCAAUGGAGGGACCUGGUAGGAGGUGACUGGAUCACAGGGGCAGUAUCCCCCAUGUUGUUCUCAUAAUAGUGAGGGAGUCCACACGAAAUCUGGUGGUUUAAAAGUGGCAGUUGCCCCUGAGCUCUUUCUCUCUCCUGUCACCUUGUGAAGAAGGUACUUGCUUCCCCUUUGCCUUCCACCAUGAUUAUAAGUUUCCUGAGGCCUUCCCAGUCAUGUGGAACUGUGAGUCAAUUAAACCUCUUCCCUUUAUAAAGUACCCAGUCUCAGAUAGUUCUUACAGCAGUGUGAAAACGGACUUAUAUAGGUACAUUUCUUUGUGUGUAUGCAGUCUUUUUCUUCUAGCUAAUUUCUGUCUGGUGGAGAAGAAACAUUUGUAUGUCAGUAGUGGAGUCAUGUGCCAAGUGCUAUAGUCAGAAGGAGAGAGGGAACUAUGAUCUCCAUGUGAAAUGGGGAGGAAGAUGGUUAGAUUUUCAAAGGCAUCACAGGAAAAGUCUCAUGUGAUUUAGGGUUAAAGGCCAAGUGGGUAUUCACUAGGCAGAAAAUUUAGGGGACAGUGUUGGGAUUAGACAGAACUUGGGAAACUAGAUAUAAGUAUUUUGAUGUGACUUCACAGUAAAAUGUAUAGUACAGAGUAUCAGAAGAUAAUGUUAAAAGGAUAGUUUGAGCCAAGUCUUGAUCUGUUUCCCAUUGCAGUAAGAGAAAGCUUAUAUAUCUUUUUCAAUGAAUGUGAUUAAUAAAUAAUCCUACAUAGAUUAUGUCACUCAUUCUCAAGGUUUAUACUAUCACCUGUGUUGGUGACUUCCAAAUUUGUAUUUCUAGUCCUGGGCUAGAGAUCCUCUUUGUCUUCUGGCCAUCAGCAUUUUGAUGUUUAUCAGCUCUUGCAAAGUCUGCACCCGCAAAGUAAACUCAUUACCUUCCCUUCAAAAUCUUGGCUCUGUCCAAAUUUCCUAGUUUGGUGAAUAGCCCCAGCUUUCAAAAAAUUAUCCAUAAAUACUCCCUUCUCUUGAACCCUCUCAAUAUUUUCCAAUAUCUAAACACUCAACAAUUCUUGGCUUACUUAUUUGUUAAAUUGUUCUGAAUAUUAUUGUCUCCUUUCCAUCCCCAUUUCUUGUAGUAUCUUUUUUUUGGAUUGUCAUUAUUUUCUCUUUCAAUUACUGCAGCAACAUCUUAACUGAAUUCUACACCUUUCUGAUCAGUUCUUGCUCCGUUAACACAUUGAUCUUUCUCAAAUUGAUCACAUCAGUGAUUUUGCUAGUAAAUUUUUCGUAAGUCCUUGCUUGCUUUAGUAUAAAAUCCUAAAACACUUAGCAUGACAUUUAAGCCCUUAUGAUUUGAGCCUUGCCCACUUGUCCAGCUUCAUGGGACCCAUGGCCAGUCCCUUACCCUUUUCUAGCCUUAUUGAAUAACUUGAAGAUUCCUAAAAUUUCCAAAGUUUGUUAGUCUUCUGGGUAUUUUCCUGUUCCUGUUCCUGUUUCCAUGCUUCUUACCCUGUCAACUCAUUUCUCUUAACCUCUGCCGUUACUCAAGUUGGGGUAAAGUGUUUCCACAAUUGUAUGGUGAUAAAUUAUUUACUCUUCUCUGUCUCAACUAGACUGCAGGCUCCUCAAUGCCAGGCACCAUGUUUCAUUCAUGUCUGCCACAUUUUCAAUGCUUAGCUUCAUGUCUGGCACAGAAUUAUAGCAAAAAUAAUAGUGUUUACUGAGCACUUAUUGUAUACCAGACAAGGUGCUAAUUUGUUUACAUACAUUAUUUCCUUUAAAGGAGAAGAAAUCAAUCUAUGCUUUGGAAAGGUAAUGUGGCAAAAAAAAAAAAAAAAA
rnacentral:lncRNA from 1 species